AAAGAGAACAAACGCUGGCUGUUGACAGAGCGCUGACUGCAGGCAGCAGACAGAUGGUCCAGUCCCUCUCUUAAUUCGACGUCUUCAAAGGUUGCGAGUGGCGGCGGUGGCGGCGCCAUAUGUGACAGAGCUGCAGAUCCUGGAUCAGGCCAAAGAGCGCCGCCGCUACACGUCUGCACCACCUGCUGCCGCCAUGUUCCCGUGUUUAAACAGCUUCACUGUGUGUGUGUGUGUGUGUGUGUGUGUGUGUGUGUGUGUGUGUCACAUAUGUGAAAACCUUUCAACUCCACUUUAGACGUUUCCUCUUUAGUUGAAUCUCAGAGAAAGUUCAUUUGGAAACCUGAAAACAACAACAACAACUAAAACAACAACAACAACAACCUGAAAAGUUCAUGUGCUUCAGGAAUUUACCCGACAGCGUCCCACCUGACUUCGUACAGGACUGUGAGGACCUGCUACUGGAGGACUAAUUGAUCAUCAUUCACACAGAAACUGAGAGACAGUCUCGCUGUCGUCUCCUCGCUGUCAUCUUCAGUUUCUUAUGAAAACAACAUUUCAGACUUCAAUAAAAGAGGAACUGAUACUGCCGACCCACAAUCCCCUGCUGCUGCGGGGGAACUGGACCUGAUGGAGCCGUGUUGUGUUUGGACUGAAGACUGUUUUCAUGGAUUUAGUUCCUGCUCUGAUGAUGAUGUCACAGCGUUGAUGAUGUCGUCUGCAGGACCUGGUCUGGCUCUGGUCUGGACCUGCUGAUGAAACCAGGACCGGGUCUCUUUCCAGACUGUUCAGUGACAGAAGGUUCACAGACUGUUUGUUGUUGUUGUUAUUGUUGUUGAGCCACCAUAUGGAACGACACACAGCGCUACUGAGAUCAGCUGUUCAGGAGGUCACAGAUCAGGAACAAAAACUCAUCCUGACCGGCUCCUCGCGGGCUGCCGUCCCUCCUACACACAGAUUAAAACAUAGAUCCUGCUGGUGUGACAGCCUUUAAACAGGAGGAGUGGACCCUCUUCUUCUGCUGCUGCUCAACAAACUUCCAACAACUUCCUUCAGCCUCGUCAUUCUUUUAUAUUCUCCAUCCGUCCACACUGACAGGCUUAUGCACCACGUAGGACGUCCUCAUUGUCUCCAGCAGACUGUGUUUUCAUACCAACGUGUGGGUGGACGUGUUUUAUGUGCAGAAAGAACAACCACAGGCGCUUCAAGAGAAAAGAUGUUUCUUUUAUCGCUCAGAUCGAAUAUCUGUAAAAACUCACUCGUCUAUCACAGUUCACUUUCAGUCCCGAGGGAGUCCAGAUUGCAGAGUAAACCUCCUAAAACAACACGCCGGGGGGGUCAAACACGACACUGUCGGGACGUCCUGACCCGAAUCUGGUUCCUGUGUAAACACUGAGAGGCUAAAAAUCGCCUGGACGUCAGACGGAGACAGAAACCUGCUGAGGACGGACGCAGCGCUCGGCUGGACGGCGCUUUUACUUUACAAACGUUACCUCAUUGUGUCUCAUACACACACAUAUAUAAAUAUAUACAUAAACUGUAGUGGUCAGAAAUGUCCAAAAUAAUAUUAAAAUGAUGGACAAUUGAUAUUAGUUGUAUUCCACAUAUUACUGGGCGGAGGUCAUAUAGCUCCAUUAGUACUUUUAUAGGUGGUCAAAACCACAAACUCACUGUGCUGUCUUAUAAACUAAUAUUGUAUAAACUGUAAUAUUGUAUUAACUGUAAUAUUC